rnacentral:tRNA from 1 species
GUCAGAAUGGUGGAAUUGGCAGACACUAGACGCUUAAAACGUCUUGCCUUUAUGGCGUGCGGGUUCGAGUCCCGCUUCUGACA